CGCCAUCGGAUGUGCCCAGAUGGGAUUAGCUAGUAGGUGGGGUAAUGGCUCACCUAGGCGACGAUCCCUAGCUGGUCUGAGAGGAUGACCAGCCACACUGGAACUGAGACACGGUCCAGACUCCUACGGGAGGCAGCAGUGGGGAAUAUUGCACAAUGGGCGCAAGCCUGAUGCAGCCAUGCCGCGUGUGUGAAGAAGGCCUUCGGGUUGUAAAGCACUUUCAGCGAGGAGGAAGGCAUAAAGGUUAAUAACCUUUGUGAUUGACGUU
rnacentral:rRNA from 1 species